CCAACGGCCCUCUUUAGGGCCACAUACCUUAAUUAAAACCCAAUC
rfam:Steinernema glaseri strain NC unplaced genomic scaffold GLAS_7503, whole genome shotgun sequence.